GAACGGUAACAGGAAGCAGCUUGCUGCUUCGCUGACGAGUGGCGGACGGGUGAGUAAUGUCUGGGAAACUGCCUGAUGGAGGGGGAUAACUACUGGAAACGGUGGCUAAUACCGCAUAACGUCGCAAGACCAAAGAGGGGGACCUUCGGGCCUCUUGCCAUCAGAUGUGCCCAGAUGGGAUUAGCUUGUUGGUGAGGUAACGGCUCACCAAGGCGACGAUCCCUAGCUGGUCUGAGAGGAUGACCAGCCACAC
rnacentral:rRNA from 1 species